rnacentral:lncRNA from 1 species
AAUUAGAAUAACCAGAGCUUGCUCAUGACACUGACAAAAUACAAAUCCAAAAUCCAGAACCAUUUCAUGUAUGAAAUCGAUGAACCAACCAGCUGAACUCAUUGAAACUGACUAUCAAUGUCAGGACUCCCAAUAAUCUGACAUACUAUACAUCAUAUACUACUCUUGUGCAGAAUAAGAUGACAUACUAUACAUCAUAUACUACUCUUGUGCAGAAUAAGAACCGAUAGAAGAAAUACUAUAACUCAUCCUGAGCAGACUAAGAAUCAACUGAAGAAACUACAACUCAUCAUGAGCAGACCAAGAAUCAACUAAAGAAACUAAGAAACCCAAAUUCCGCUUUCCUUCUAUAAUUAAUGUUUCAAACACAAUGAUAACCAACAGCCCAGAUCUAAAUAUUAGCUAUCAUUAUUGGCAUAGUUUUCUGCCCGACCUUCUAGGUUCAUAGAAAAAUAGAAUUUUAUAACAAUAAUAAAACUACUAAAGGAUGCUUAAGUUCAUGACAAACCACAUCUCAAUCGAUGAUACCAGAGAACCCUAACAACAUGAAAGAAGAAAAAUCAACUAAGUAGUUUAGUAAUAUCAGGAAACACAAAACGGCUGAAACAACAAGGUGGUGCUUUUAUCCCAUGGCUCUUGCAUAAGAGCUCGUAAACAUAUUGUUGAUGCCCUUUUUUUUUCCAGAAGAUGCCCCUUGUUUUCGUUUUACCCAAAUAGUACCCCUAAUUGUUGUAAUUCUACCCUUAGCCCGUCCGUCGCCCUCACCCUAUGCUCACACUGGAAGUUCUCGUGGCUCUAUGUGUGAUGCCUCGCCCACACCCUUCCCCGCCAAUAUGAUUUAGACCUAUACCAAUGUGGGACUAAACAGAUAUAGGUCUAAUACUCAAUAUUAUUCUUAGACCUAAACUAGUGUAUGUCUGAUAGUUGAGAUACAAUUCUUUGGUUGGAAUGGACGGCAAGACAAUUCAAAAUUAUACUAUCGAAGGAGAAUAAAAUGACAUCACUAUACAACAUUGUGACAGUUUCUAUCAGUUAAGCGUGGAAUGGAUAACAAGUCAGAAAGAAAGGAUGAAAACAGAUCAAAAGUUGCANN